AACAAGGAAACGCUCCCAUUUUCGAGCAAAAAUCAAAGUUCAAAAUAUACAAAUCGUUGUUCGAAACCUCCAUCAAAACAACAUCAAACUCUCCGUGAAGAAUCUGAAGAGAAAACAAAGCAACAACACUCAACAUAAAAUGGCAGCAAGAAACCAAACGAAAGACCUUAAGUGUGCCACACAUCUCCUGAGCGAUAAGUUCAGAAACAUGACUGAGGAGAAGAAGGCAAUUGUCAGGGAUCUCGGAUUUGGUGGGUUGAUGCACGUCCCACCUCUAAGGGUGGAUCACCAACUCUUAAGGGAACUGGCAAACAACUUCAAACUUGGGGAGAACAGACUGAAGACAGGAUAUAUGGUUCUUUCCAAAUAACACCAAAGACAAUAGGUGAUGCGCUUGGCAUCAAUGCAACAGGAAAUCUGUUUCCUGAGAAAGUUGAGUAUAAGCAACUUUCUGAUGAUGACAAAAUAAUUUAUAGAAGAUUCCAGGGUAAGACCCUCAAAAGUCUUACCGAUGAAAUGAUGGAAAUAGGCGUUGGCAGCGAAGAGGAACGCCUGAUGUUCAAGAGGAUAUUCAUCCUCUACAUACAGAUGGCGUUCCUUUUGCCAACGACAAUAAACAAAAUAUCGCCCGUGCACCUCGCCCCAAUUUUUA